GUCACAACAGGAUGAAAGAAUCCACUGAGACCUAACAAAAAGCACCAUAAGUGUCCAGUGGGUUGCUUGCACAUCACCCAAUGGACGGUGGGGAGCCACUGCAGGGGUCUGAGCUGGCAAGUUCACGAUCAAAUAGACCUGUCCAGCCACCCCUCUACAACUCUAUCAUGCACCUGGGCCUCAUGUUCCACACGUACGUUUGACUCAGCUACCUUUUCCUGAGCACCUGUGGAUGGGAUCAUGAGGAAUACACAGGUGCACGGGGCUAUGUGCUGUGUCUUCCAAGCAAUGGAUUUAAUGUCUGAACUGGCCCCUCGGAAGUCACAUCUCUCUUUAGCCAUUCCCCGUUACACCCCCACAGUCCAGCUUUGCCUCUGGACUUGGAAUGAAGUGUGCUCCCGUGUUGCUUGAGGUCCUUGCAGAAACCCCUUCCCCUCCCUAGCACGGCCCUCCCCACACCAGCCUGCAGGAGACCUUGCCUAAAGAUCACUCUCGGACACUACAGGGUGAGGUGGCUUCUCGCCCUCCUCAGGGCUCAGGUCAUGUCCUCUCUGUUGCAGUCCUUACACUGCAUGGCUUUAUCUUGUUUGUCUAUGCGUUGAGGCACAAUAGCUCAGCUCAGGCCCUGCAUCUCCUUGGGAGCUGUCUUCCCUGGGGCUAAGGAAAGACCCAGAACAGGGUAAGCAGAGUAAGUGCUGAGGACUAAGAAAAUAGAAAUACCAAAUACCCGGGGGCCAGGCACUGGCCACAGAGACUCUUCUUUCGUUCUUAGGUCCCUCUGUGUGAUAUGCAUUCUUAUUGCCAUCUUGGAUGGCUCUGUGACUUGGGCAAGGGCAGGCCACUGUGAGUUUGCAGAACGGGGAUUCCAAGGCAAGCCUGUGUUUCUGCACAGGCCCAGAACGCUUCUGCUCCAUCCUGCUCCACGGGUCAUGCGUGGCAACAGGCUGGGAUGGAACUGUGUGGGCUAGAGAAGCCACACACAGGCCACUUCCUCUCGCUCACCUUUCUUGACUUCCCACUCAGCCAGGAGAGCUUCUUCGAGAUCUUUAUCUUGGCUCCUGCACUUGGGGAAGUUCCUGAGGCCAACCAGCACCCAAACAUACCUCGAAUGUCAUCUAGGAGAGAUGAGGAAAGGAUUUUUCCAUGUGGUCACUGGGUGUGAGUAACUGUCCCUGUCCCUGUGACUCCCACCUCUUCCCCUUGUCCUGGGAAACCCCACCCCAGGUCUUCAGAUAAAAGCUCUAGGCACCGAGGAUGAGACCAGAGAGAGUUACCUUGGCUUCACCCAACACACCGAGGCUGCUCCAAAGAGGCGGGAGCCAAACAUCCGAGAUGAAACUGACCUCUGUGGCCCUGGUGUGCCUGCUGCUGGCUGCAACAUGGCCACAAGACGUGGACAGCAAGAGCAGUAAGUGUGGUCCGGGUCCCUUGGCUUACCCCCGGGGAGGGCAGGCAGGGGGGUGCUCUGGGGGUUUGGGCAGGACUCACCUUGAACUCACCCACUCUGUCUGCCUUCCUCCUACCUGAAGAGGAGGAAUGGGGGAUUCCAGUGGGCUGGGGGCAGAGCUGGCCAGUAGGACCAUGAACCAGGAGCAAACAUGGAGAGCUUUGAAGUUGCCAGCUUCAGCCUGAGGAGGCUCUGUCUGGUCCAGACCCUGCAGGCAGUUGGAGGAAUUGCAAAAUUUUUAAGUCAAGCUGGGAGCCCUGAGGACCAGAGGAGGAGCCGGACCUUGCCUCGGGUCUUGCCUCCACAGUGUGUUAGAUCAUGGGCAGAAUCUGCAAGCAGGACCAAGGUUCGAGCCGUUUAAUAGUAGGCUAACGUUGAGCAAGUCUUGGGCCCUUUAAUUCUCAGAUGGAUUUCUCUCUUGGUAAAAAUGGAGUUUGGUAAUGCAUACCCUCCAGGGUUGGAGGAAUAUCCAUCUAGUAAUAGACAUGAAAGUUUUUUUUUGUUUUGUUUUUUUGUUUUUUUUUUUAACUAGGAGGAAGGAGCCAAUAUUGGAAUGCAAAGUUUUGGGGGCUGGGGAGUGGGUAGAUGAAAGAGGAAUGUAGAAACCAGCCGAGUAGGGGUGGAGCCUGGAGCCAGCUAAGCAUCAGGGGAGCAGGGGAGCUGGCUACUUCUUGGGAGCUCUUCCCUUCUCUUUUUGAGCUCAUCUGGCCCCGGGUCUGUGUACUCGGAACCACAGUGUCCUGUGUGCAUUGGGCUGACUGAUCCCCCAGGUUAUGAGGUCUAGAACCCUGGGGACAGAACCAUACACUUGGGCUGGAAUGUCAAAAUAAAUGAACCAUUAGAAACCAAGGCCUAAAGUCUUUUUUUAAUGGAGGAAAGUCUGAGCCAGGCCUGGGUUCCUUCUCACAGCUGCCAGCUAGUUUGCAGGGAGCUCCGAUCUGAACCCAUCUUCUGACUCUUCACCUAACCCCACACCUGGGUGGCUGCUGAGACCAGGCUGUGCUGGAGCCCUCUGGGUGGUCCCCAAGCCUGGGGCUGUCCUGGGAGGGGCUUUGUGGGUGAGAGGCUGAGAGAGAGGGAUGCAAGGUGUCUUCUGUGCUUGUCUCCUAGUGCACGUGUCUUCCUCCCGAUGCUGCUUCUCAUUUG
rnacentral:lncRNA from 1 species